rnacentral:rRNA from 1 species
GACGAACGCUGGCGGCGUGCCUAAUACAUGCAAGUCGAGCGGACGGAUGGGAGCUUGCUCCCAGACCGUCAGCGGCGGCCGGGUGAGUAACACGUGGUCAACCUGCCUGUAAGACUGGGAUAACUCCGGGAAACCGGGGCUAAUACCGGAUAACUCUUUCCCUCCCAUGAGGGAAAGCUGAAAGAUGGCAUCUCGCUAUCACUUACAGAUGUGCCCGCGGCGCAUUAGCUAGUUGGUGGGGUAACGGCUCACCAGGGCGACGAUGCGUAGCCGACGGGUGGGGGGGAUCGCCCACAUGGGGACUGAGACACGGCCCAGAGUCCUACGGGAGGCAGCAGUAGGGAAUCUUCCGCAAAGGACGAAAGUCUGACGGAGCAACGCCGCGUGAGUGAUGAAGGUGUUCGGAGCGUAAAACUCUGUUGUCAGGGAAGAACAAGUACCGGAGUAACUGCCGGUAGCUUGACGGUACCUGGCCAGAAAGCCACGGCUAACUACGUG